AGGUGCGGAUGGGCCCCGGUGGACUCCGCGGACUUCAAAUCCGUUGGUGGGCACCUUGCGGUGUCUACGGUAGGUUCGACUCCUAUGCGCUCCC
rnacentral:tRNA from 1 species